rnacentral:rRNA from 1 species
UACGUAGGGGGCUAGCGUUGUCCGGAUUUAUUGGGCGUAAAGAGCGUGUAGGCGGCCAGGUAGGUCUGCUGUGAAAACUCGAGGCUCAACCUCGAGACGUCGGCGGAAACCAUCUGGCUAGAGUCCGGAAGAGGAGAGUGGAAUUCCUGGUGUGAGCGGGUGAAAUGCGUAGAUAUGCGGGAGGAACACCGAUGGCGAAGGCAAUCCCCUGGACCUGUACUGACGCUCAUGCACGAAAGCGUGGGGAGCAAACAGGGAUAGAAAC